rnacentral:rRNA from 1 species
UAGGGAAUCUUCCGCAAUGGGCGAAAGCCUGACGGAGCAACGCCGCGUGAGUGAUGAAGGUCUUCGGAUCGUAAAACUCUGUUAUUAGGGAAGAACAAAUGUGUAAGUAACUAUGCACGUCUUGACGGUACCUAAUCAGAAAGCCACGGCUAACUACGUGCCAGCAGCAGCGGUAAUACGUAGGUGGCAAGCGUUAUCCGGAAUUAUUGGGCGUAAAGCGCGCGUAGGCGGUUUUUUAAGUCUGAUGUGAAAGCCCACGGCUCAACCAUGGAGGGUCAUUGGAAACUGGAAAACUUGAGUGCAGAAGAGGAAAGUGGAAUUCCAUGUGUGGCGGUGAAAUGCGCAGAGAUAUGGAGGAACACCAGUGGCGAAGGCGACUUUCUGGUCUGUAACUGACGCUGAUGUGCGAAAGCGUGGGGAUCAAACAGG